CCCGCAGGGCUCCGGGCGGCCGUGACCCUGCUGGAGUGCGGGGGGGACCUCCAGCCCCCCGGGGGGUCCCUGCGCCUCCUCUGCCGAGGGGCCGGGUUCAGUUUUGGGAGUUUUGACAUAUUCUGGGUGCGCCAGAGACCCGGGCAGGGCUUGGAGUGGCUCGCAGGGAUCAGCAGCAGUGGUUCCAGCACCUACUACGCGCCGUCGGUCAAGGGCCGGUUCAGGAUCUCCAGGGACAACGGGCAGAGCUCGGUGACGCUGACCAUGAACAGCCUCAAGGACGAGGAUUCCGGAUCCUAUUUCUGUGCCAAACGUGACAAUGCUUAUGCUGGUGGUAAUGCUGCUGCUGUUUUUGCCAUCACUCCUGGUGGUGACCAUGAGGGUGGUGAAAUUUCUCCGUUCCCAGCGAUGCUUCCCCCAAGUUUCAGCCCUCCUAAAGCCUCAACCAUUUUCUCCCAAACUCUGCCAUUGUUGCCCCAACUCUCGACUUUAUCCCAGUUUUGCCCAUUUCACCCAAAUCUCCCCCAGCUCCCCGGGCCCUGA